ACGGAGAUGAAUGGUGCAUAUCAAACCAGCAGCCUGUAAAUAACAUCAGGAUAGUCUGCAGAAACACAUCACAAGAAGGUCGCCUUCUAAACAAUGGCUCUGCCAAAGGGAACUACAAGACAUCAACACAAAUCAAGAAAGC
rnacentral:lncRNA from 11 species